AGCUUUAUCACGGACUGGCGUUGCAAUUUUCUGACUGGCGUUGCAAUUUUCUGCUUCUUGCUCGGACCAGAUGCCAUGGCUACCCAGCCGGCAUACAGGCCAGAAAGACCCCCACACCCCGACCGCCUGUGGAUCUGGGAGAAGCACGUGUACUUGGAUGAAUUUCGUCGAAGCUGGCUGCCCAUAGUCAUCGAGAGUGAUAGAAAAUUCCAGGUGAUCAUGCGCCAGGAAGAUGUCACCUUGGGGGCUGCUAUGACCUCCAGUCAGCUGGUGUCUUACGAGCUGCCUUUAAUGUGGCAACUGUACCCUGAGGGAAGGUACCGAAGCUGUAAUUCCACGUUCUGGCAGAUACUGUACCACAUCAAGGCAAGCACAGCUUACCCCAGGGACUCAGGUUAGAGAGAUAGAAGAAGCUAUCAUCUGAGGUCUUAGCCAAACACCUUGGCACAAGGAACCCUCUAUGGUAGUCACUGACUGAGACCAGUUGAGAGGGCUAGCCACCUCACCUCAGGCCCCAGUACUAACCCAGGCUGAGGAACACUGAGCCAGAAUGAAAGAGGAAUCCUCAGGGCUGGUCUGACUACUCCCUUGUCUCUCUCCUUCUCCACCCUCAGUUCAGAGACGUGGAGGACAUGUUACUUGAACUGAUGGACUCCAAUGAAUAACCUGAGACAUGGUCCUAACAGCUCCUGUCUCCCUUGCCCAGGCCUGGGCCCACAGGGGAGAUGUUGGUACUUCUAUUCACUCUGUUUGCUAGUCAUGUCCUUUAUCCUCCACACUGGACUCCAAGAAGAAAACUCCGGCCAGAGGCUGCCCCUUCCCAUGCUCCUGUCACCUGCUCAUCUACCUUGGUUGGUCCCUCAGUUCUGCUGACUCCCUGGCAA